rnacentral:rRNA from 1 species
GACGAACGCUGGCGGCGUGCUUAACACAUGCAAGUCGAGCGGAAAGGCCCUGCUUUUGUGGGGUUCUCGAUUGGCGAACGCGUGUGUAACACGUGUGUAACCUCCCCUUAUCUUUGGGAUAACUUCACGAAACUGGGGCUAAUACCCCAUAUGAUCUCCUGCUCCAUGUGGGUGGUUGGAAAGUUCCGGCGGUUGGGGCUCGUAUCGCGGCUUACCAGCUUGUUGGGGGGGUAGUGGCUUACCAGGGCUUUGACGGGUAGCCGGCAUGGGAGGGUGAACGGGCACAAUGGGACUGCGGUACGGCCCAGACUGCUACGGGAGGCAGCAGGGGGGAAUAUUGCACAAUGGGGGGAAGCCUGAUGCAGCAACGCCGCGUGCGGGAUGACGGGCUACGGGUUGUAAACCGCUUUGGCCUGUGACGAAGCGUGAGUGACGGUAAUGGGUAAAGAAGCACCGGCUAACUACGUG